CCGGUAUUCAAUGAAGAGAGAUGCUACGUUACUAGACUCAACAUGAUUAUGCAGACGACUCCGUCGUCUCAAAUAAAACUAUGAAGGACCUCGGCGUUACUCUGGACCCUGAUCUCUCUUUUGACGAACAUAUCAAGACUGUUUCAAGGGGCUGAGUCACUGGCUUACGUGAUCUUCCUGUCUGGGUUGGCGCCCCCCCUUGGGUUGUGCCGUGGCGGAGAUCUUUGUGGGCUAUACUCGGCAUUGUCUCAGGAUGGAUCUGAGCCCUAGGACCAUGCCUCAGGACUACCUGGCCUGAUGACUCCUUGCUGUCCCCAGUCCACCUGGCCGUGCUGCUGCUCCAGUUUCAACUGUUCUGCCUGCGGCUAUGGAACCCUGACCUGUUCACCGGACGGCUAUGAAAAGCCAACUGACAUUUACUCCUGAGGUGCUUACGUGUUGCACCCUCGACAACCACUGAUUAUUAAUUUGUCCAUGCUGGUCAUCUAUGAACUUUUGAUCAUCUUGACCAUGUUCUGUUAUAAUCUCCACCCGGCACAGCCAGAAGAGGACUGGCCAAUCCUCAUAGCCUGGAUCCUCUAGGUUUCUUCCUCAGUUCUGGCCUUUCUAAGGAGUUUUUCCUAGCCACCGUGCUUCUACACCUGCAUUGCUUGGGGUUUUAGGCUGGGUUUCUGUACAGCACUCGAGAUAUCAGCUGAUGUAAGGGCUUUAUAAAUAAAUUUGAUU
rnacentral:lncRNA from 1 species